UGCGCAGGCGGGCUUGUAAGUCAGUGGUGAAAUUCUGCCGCUUAACGGUAGAACUGCCAUUGAUACUGCAAGUCUUGAAUAUGGUUGAGGUAGGCGGAAUGUGUUGUGUAGCGGUGAAAUGCAUAGAUAUGACACAGAACGCCAAUUGCGAAGGCAGCUUACUAAGCCAUUAUUGACGCUGAGGCACGAAAGCGUGGGGAGCGAACAGGAUUAGAUCCCCUGGUAGUCC
rnacentral:rRNA from 1 species